ACAUUCUGCCCUGAUUUCCGGAACCUGGAAGCCUAGGCAGGCAGUGGGGAACUCUGACUCGCCUGUGCUCUGGAGCUUGAUCCGAAAGCUUCCACAGUGAGGACUGCUCCGUGGGGGUAAGAGAGCACCAGGCACUGAGGCCUGGGAGUUCCACAGACCAACACCCCUGCUCCUGGCGGCUCCCACCCGGGACUUAGACCCUCAGGUCCCUAAUAUCCCGGAGGUGCUCUCAAUCAGAAAGGUCCUGCUCCGCUUCGCAGUGGAAUGGAACGGAUUUAGAAGCCUGCAGUAGGGGAGUGGGGAGUGGAGAGAGGGAGCCCAGAGUUACAGACGGCGGCGAGAGGAAGGAGGGGCGUCUUUAUUUUUUUAAGGCCCCAAAGAGUCUGAUGUUUACAAGACCAGAAAUGCCACGGCCGCGUCCUGGCAGAGAAAAGGCUGAAAUGGAGGACCGGCGCCUUCCUUAUAAGUAUGCACAUUGGCGAGAGAAGUGCUGCAACCUAAACCAGCAAUUACACCCAAGCUCGUUGGGGCCUAAGCCAGUACCGACCUGGUAGAAAAAGCAACCACGAAGCUAGAGAGAGAGCCAGAGGAGGGAAGAGAGCGCCAGACGAAGGUGAAAGCGAACCACGCAGAGAAAUGCAGGCAAGGGAGCAAGGCGGCAGUUCCCGGAACAAACGUGGCAGAGGGCAAGACGGGCACUCACAGACAGAGGUUUAUGUAUUUUUAUUUUUUAAAAUCUGAUUUGGUGUUCCAUGAGGAAAAGGGAAAAUCUAGGGAACGGGAGUACAGAGAGAAUAAUCCGGGUCCUAGCUCGCCACAUGAACGCCCAGAGAACGCUGGAAAAACCUGAGCGGGUGCCGGGGCAGCACCCGGCUCGGGUCAGCCACUGCCCCACACCGGGCCCACCAAGCCCCGCCCCUCGCGGCCACCGGGGCUUCCUUGCUCUUCUUAUCAUCUCCAUCUUUAUGAUGAGGCUUGUUAACAAGACCAGAGAGCUGGCCAAGCACCUCUAUCUCAGCCGCGCCCGCUCAGCCGAGCAGCGGUCGGUGGGGGGACUGGGAGGCGCUAAUUAAUUGAUUCCUUUGGACUGUAAAAUAUGGCGGCGUCUACACGGAACCCAUGGACUCAUAAACAAUAUAUCUGUUGGGCGUGAGUGCACUGUCUCUCAAAUAAUUUUUCCAUAGGCAAAUGUCAGAGGGUUCUGGAUUUUUAGUUGCUAAGGAAAGAUCCAAAUGGGACCAAUUUUAGGAGGCCCAAACAGAGUCCGUUCAGUGUCAGAAAAUGCUUCCCCAAAGGGGUUGGGAGUGUGUUUUGUUGGAAAAAAGCUUGGGUUAUAGGAAAGCCUUUCCCUGCUACUUGUGUAGACCCAGCCCAAUUUAAGAAUUACAAGGAAGCGAAGGGGUUGUGUAGGCCGGAAGCCUCUCUGUCCCGGCUGGAUGCAGGGGACUUGAGCUGCUCCGGAAUUUGAGAGGAACAUAGAAGCAAAGGUCCAGCCUUUGCUUCGUGCUGAUUCCUAGACUUAAGAUUCAAAAACAAAUUUUUAAAAGUGAAACCAGCCCUAGCCUUUGGAAGCUCUUGAAGGUUCAGCACCCACCCAGGAAUCCACCUGCCUGUUACACGCCUCUCCAAGACACAGUGGCACCGCUUUUCUAACUGGCAGCACAGAGCAACUCUAUAAUAUGCUUAUAUUAGGUCUAGAAGAAUGCAUCUUGAGACACAUGGGUAACCUAAUUAUAUAAUGCUUGUUCCAUACAGGAGUGAUUAUGCAGUGGGACCCUGCUGCAAACGGGACUUUGCACUCUAAAUAUAGACCCCAGCUUGGGACAAAAGUUGCAGUAGAAAAAUAGACAUAGGAGAACACUUAAAUAAGUGAUGCAUGUAGACACAGAAGGGGUAUUUAAAAGACAGAAAUAAUAGAAGUACAGAAGAACAGAAAAAAAAUCAGCAGAUGGAGAUUACCAUUCCCAAUGCCUGAACUUCCUCCUGCUAUUAAGAUUGCUAGAGAAUUGUGUCUUAAACAGUUCAUGAACCCAGAAGAAUGCAAUUUCAAUGUAUUUAGUACACACACAGUAUGUAUAUAAACACAACUCACAGAAUAUAUUUUCCAUACAUUGGGUAGGUAUGCACUUUGUGUAUAUAUAAUAAUGUAUUUUCCAUGCAGUUUUAAAAUGUAGAUAUAUUAAUAUCUGGAUGCAUUUUCUGUGCACUGGUUUUAUAUGCCUUAUGGAGUAUAUACUCACAUGUAGCUAAAUAGACUCAGGACUGCACAUUCCUUGUGUAGGUUGUGUGUGUGUGGUGGUUUUAUGCAUAAAUAAAGUUUUACAUGUGGUGAA
rnacentral:lncRNA from 1 species